AGAGCGAACGCUGGCGGCAGGCUUAACACAUGCAAGUCGAGCGCCCCGCAAGGGGAGCGGCAGACGGGAGAGUAACACGUGGGAACGUACCUUUCGGUUCGGAACAACCCAGGGAAACUUGGGCUAAUACCGGAUACGUCCGUAAGGAGAAAGAUUUAUCGCCGAAAGAUCGGCCCGCGUCUGAUUAGCUAGUUGGUGAGGUAACGGCUCACCAAGGCGACGAUCAGUAGCUGGUCUGAGAGGAUGAUCAGCCUCACUGGGACUGAGACACGGCCCAGACUCCUACGGGAGGCAGCAGUGGGGAAUAUUGGAUAAUGGGCACAAGCCUGAUCCAGCCAUGCCGCGUGAGUGAUGAAGGCCCUAGGGUUGUAAAGCUCUUUGUGCGGGAAGAUAAUGACGGUACCGCAAGAAUAAGCCCCGGCUAACUUCGUGCCAGCAGCCGC
rnacentral:rRNA from 1 species